GCAGUGGCUCAGUGGUAGAGCAUCUGCUUUGUGCAGAAGGUCCCAGGUUCGAUUCCUGGCAUCUCCA